rnacentral:rRNA from 1 species
GCGCUCUCCACCAUCUCUUCCAUUACCAAAAAACACCCCCGUUCACAAAAAAGAGACCUGAACCAAUCGUAAUCUCUUUCUCAAUCUCAUCUCUCUCUCUCUCUCUCUCUCGAACUCUCUCGAACUCCCAGGUCUCUCUGCAUCUCCCCAUGAUGACCAGAUCCAUAUCUCUCAAAUUGGAGCAAGAAAUUUAGGCAUGGAUCCCUCUCUCAAUCACGUCUAUCUCUUUCUAUCAAACUCUCAGGUCUCUUCUCUCCUCACCUCAAAUUGCAGCAAGGACUCUUUUAUCCUCACCUCAAAUUGCAUCAAGGACUCUUCUAUCCUCACCUCAAAUUGCAGCAAGGACGUUAGGGCGUGGAUCUCCUGCGCUCAACGAGAUUGGAUUCAAAAAAAAUCUAAGGAUUCAAUUUUAAAUCUAAUCUUCUCACGUAUGCUCUUUGGAUACAUCAUGAAGAUCGGUUUGGGGCAGAAGUAAGCCCAUAAGGCUAGCUUAUAAAUUAAGCAUGCAACCUAACAUAGACCAUCUCAAAUCAAGGAGGCUCUAUUCGUUGUCAGCAUCGUCAUUGCUCAGAUUCUCCUAUUAGGUCAAAUUCUUUUGUUUUCAAUUGAAACAAUGGCAUAUGAUAUGCUCGAUGCGAUUAACAAUGGGAAGGAUUCCUGGAAAGCGAAGGUCGGAGUAAUUAGGCUAUGGGACGCCAUUAACCUCAAUAACAAUGAACUAAUUAGCCUUGACAUGAUACUGCUUGAUGAACAGGGCACUAUGAUACAUGCCAAGGUAAUAAAACAUAUGGUUAACAAGUUCAGGCCAUUGAUCCAAGAAGGUUUAGUCUACAUGAUAGCAAAUUUCAAGGUUACAUCUGCCAUGAAUUUCCGUCCAGUUGAAGGCGACAAGAUUAUUAACUUCUUGCACACAACAAAAUUUCAAGAGAUUAAGGGACUUAAAAAUAUCAGAAUAGCAGAACAAAGUUUCAUGUUUUGUAGUGUUGAAGUUCUUUCCACAAGAGAUGGCCAGAGGAUGUACUUAUCCGAUGUCAUUGGGGUAGCAAGUUAUAUAGGUAAUAUUGAAGAGACGGAGCCAACUCAUGGGAUUUCCAAGAUUCGAGAUAUUGUACUUCGAAUUGAGGAUCAAAAAGUUAAUAUUAGACUGUGGGGUAAUAAGGUCAACCAAAUUGAUGAAGAUUCUAUGGGACGUGUUGUCAUAGUAACAUCAACAACUGUCAGAAAACUGAAAGAGUAG